GGCUUUAUAGUUGAUUAACAAUAUCGAAUUGCAAGUUCGAAGGUGAGACUUAUCUCUAAAGCUU
rnacentral:tRNA from 1 species